GGGGAAACCCAAUACCAUAAGGUAUUACUGUUGAGUGAAUACAUAGCUCAACAGGGCGAACCGGGGGAACUGAAACAUCUAAGUACCCCGAGGAAAAGAAAUCAACCGAGAUUCCGAAAGUAGCGGCGAGCGAAAUUGGACUAGCCCUUAAGCUUUACACGCGUUAGACGAACAGCCUGGAAAGGCCGACGAUACAGGGUGAUAGUCCCGUAGUUGACGACGUGUGUUCAGUGAAAUCGAGUAGGGCGGGACACGUGAUAUCCUGUCUGAAUAUGGGGGGACCAUCCUCCAAGGCUAAAUACUACUGACUGACCGAUAGUGAACCAGUACCGUGAGGGAAAGGCGAAAAGAACCCCUGUGAGGGGAGUGAAAUAGAACCUGAAACCGUGUAC
rnacentral:rRNA from 1 species